UCCCAGCCUUGCUCAGCUGGUAGAGCACAAGAAUCUUAGUCUCAGGGCCAUGGGUUCAAGUCCCACAUUGGGCA